rnacentral:tRNA from 1 species
UGCUGGGGGAUCCGGCCGCUAGACCUCUUCACUCGUAAUGAAGGGGUCAGCGGUUCGAAUCCGCUCGUCGGCUUCCA